CAAUAGCGUAUAUUAAAGUUGCUGCAGUUAAAAAGCUCGUAGUUGCAUUUCCGAGGCAAGGGAUUAGUCCGACCUUUGGUGGGUAUUUAAUCCUCUUGCCUCGUCCUUGAGUGGUGCUUCUUGGUAUUAAGUUAUCGAGGAGAUAGCCGCUCAUCGUUUACUGUGAGAAAAUUAGAGUGUUCAAAGCAGGCUUAUGCCGUUGAAUAUAUUAGCAUGGAAUAAUAAGAUAGGACCUCGGUACUAUUUUGUUGGUUUGAGAACCAAGGUAAUGAUGAAUAGGGACAGUUGGGGGUAUUCGUAUUCAGUUGUCAGAGGUGAAAUUCUUAGAUUUACGGAAGACGAACUACUGCGAAAGCAUUUGCCAAGGAUGUUUUCAUUAA
rnacentral:rRNA from 1 species